GAUAAACGCUGGCGGCGUGCCUAAUACAUGCAAGUCGAACGAGGGCUUUGUAGCAAUACGGAGUUCCUAGAGGCGAAUGGGUGAGUAACGCGUUGGUGACCUGCCCCGAAGCGGGGAAUAACUCCGGGAAACUGGAGCUAAUACCGCAUGUGGUUACGGGUUUUAGAAAGCCGUAUCUAAAGGAGCAAUCCACUUCGGGAGGGGCCUGCGUCCCAUCAGCUAGUUGGUAGGGUAAUAGCCUACCAAGGCGACGACGGGUAGGGGGCCUGAGAGGGUGGCCCCCCACACUGGCACUGAAACACGGGCCAGACACCUACGGGUGGCAGCAGUAGGGAAUCUUGCACAAUGGGCGAAAGCCUGAUGCAGCAACGCCGCGUGAGGGACGACGGCCUUCGGGUUGUAAACCUCUUUUAGUAGGGAAGAAGCGAAAGUGACGGUACCUGCAGAAAAAGCACCGGCUAACUACGUGCCAGCCGCCGCGGUAACAC
rnacentral:rRNA from 1 species